UGGGUUGGUAAAUCUCGUGCCAGCAACCGCGGUUAUACGAGAGGCCCAAAUUGAUAAAUCACGGCGUAAAGUGUGAUUAGAGACAAAACCGAACUAGAACCAAAUACCCCUUAUGCAGUCAUACGCCAUGGGGGUCACGAAGACCAACAACGAAGGUGGUUCUACAAAACUUGAACUCACGACAGCUAGGACACAAACUGGGAUUAGAUACCCCACUAUGCCUGACCUUAAACCAAGAUGACAAGACUACAAACCGCAUCCGCCAGGGAACUACGAGCCCCGCUUAAAACCCAAGGGACUUGGCGGUGCCUCAAACCCACCUAGAGGAGCCUGUCCUAUAACCGAUAAUCCCCGUUAAACCUCACCCCUCCUUGUUAAUUCCGCCUAUAUACCGCCGUCGCCAGUUUACCUUUUAAAAGAACAAAAGUAAGCAAAACGGGCAUCACCCAACACGUCAGGUCGAGGUGUAGCGAAUGGAGGGGGAAGAGAUGGGCUACAUUUUCUGACAACAGAACACUACGGAGAGUGCAAUGAAAAAUGCACGGACGAAGGUGGAUUUAGCAGUAAAAAGAAAGAAGAGAGUUCUUUUGAAACCGGCCCUGAGGCGCGUACACACCGCCCGUCACCCUCCUA
rnacentral:rRNA from 1 species